CCUACGGGAGGCAGCAGUGAGGAAUAUUGGUCAAUGGACGAGAGUCUGAACCAGCCAAGUAGCGUGCAGGAUGACGGCCCUAUGGGUUGUAAACUGCUUUUAUACAGGGAUAAAGUGACGUACGUGUACGUUUUUGUAGGUACUGUAUGAAUAAGGACCGGCUAAUUCCGUGCCAGCAGCCGCGGUAAU
rnacentral:rRNA from 1 species